rnacentral:lncRNA from 1 species
AGCUGGUACAUUGCGUGCUUUUGAACAGCGCUGAAUAGCUCUCCACACUUGAGUGGCACCCCACUGAGUCACUCACAGCCACGUGUGCCCAAAGGAACCCUGAGGACCAGGCCAAGGUGCUUGUCUCUGCCAGCUGCUAGUGUUUUCACAGAACCCAGGGAGCAGGAGUUGAAGCUGUGGCACGAUCAGAACAAAGAGUACCAGCCACUUAGCAGACGAUGCGUGGACCUGUCUUGAUUUUUGUGCAGACUCACAAAGCAAGAGUCUGUCCAAGAUCAGCAGCAUAUGCUUUAACGUUUUCAUCAGUGGGAAGGU